rnacentral:rRNA from 1 species
AUGGAGGAUGCAAAUGCAUUGAAGGUUCUAAAUCUGAAAGAAAAUCAACUUCAAGGAGAGAUGCCUCAUGAUGUCAACAACAAUUGCAUGCUUGAGGUGCUAGACUUUAGUGGAAAUUGGAUCUGAGGGCAAUUGCCCAGAUCUCUCUCUUCUUGCAAGAAGCUGGAGGUUCUUGAUGUGGGAAAUAACCGGAUCAAUGAUUCUUUUCCAUGCUGGAUGAGUGGACUUCCUGGUCUUCAAGUACUUGUCCUGAAUUCUAACGAAUUCUUUGGACAAGUGGCGCCAUCUAUUGCUAAUAAUAAAAACAAUUUUCAAUUUCCAAGUCUGUGAAUUCUGGAUCUCGCCUCCAACAACUUCUCCGGUACAUUAACAAAGGACUGGUUUAUGAAUCUAAAGUCCAUGAUG